UGAAGUGGCUUAUCUGGUUUCUGAGUUGUGUUCAUCUCUGUACACUAUGAUUGGUGUUGAUGCAUUCUAGUUGCCCAUCAUAUGGCAUAGUUAAUAGUUGACCUCUUUCGAGUAAAUUGAUGUCUCCAUUAUAUGACAUGUUGAUGCAUUUUAAAGCUUUGUUGGUUGAAAGCUGUCUGCUGUGGCCUUGUGGCCAUGUAGUUCGGUGGAUGCAAAGUUAAAUUAAACUGGGCAUUCCUCAUCUUCGAUAUUUCUAAUCAUAGCAGGAAAAGAUCUUGCAAAAUGUGCC
rnacentral:lncRNA from 1 species